UACAGAGGGUGCGAGCGUUAAUCGGAAUUACUGGGCGUAAAGCGCGCGUAGGCGGCUUUGCAAGUCGGGUGUGAAAUCCCCAGGCCUAACCUGGGAACUGCACUCGAGACUGCAUGGCUAGAGUAUCGGAGAGGGAAGUGGAAUUUCAGGUGUAGCGGUGAAAUGCGUAGAUAUCUGAAGGAACAUCAGUGACGAAAGCGACUCCUGGACGAAUACUGACGCUCAUGUGCGAAAGCGUGGGGAGCAAACAGG
rnacentral:rRNA from 1 species